GGUUUAUUAGUCAAAUAUGAUUUUAAUCUGCAAAAUUAAAGGUAAAUUUAUUUAUAAACUU
rnacentral:tRNA from 1 species